CGGCUAGGGCGGCAGCUUAACCAUGCAGUCGAGCGGCAGCGGGAAAGUAGCUUGCUACUUUUGCCGGCGAGCGGCGGACGGGUGAGUAAUGCCUGGGGAUCUGCCCAGUCGAGGUGGGAUAACUACUGGAAACGGUAGCUAAUACCGCAUACGCCCUACGGGGGAAAGCAGGGGACCUUCGGGCCUUGCGCGAUUGGAUGAACCCAGGUGGGAUUAGCUAGUUGGUGAGGUAACGGCUCACCAAGGCGACGAUCCCUAGCUGGUCUGAGAGGAUGAUCAGCCACACUGGAACUGAGACACGGUCCAGACUCCUACGGGAGGCAGCAGUGGGGAAUAUUGCACUAUGGGGGAAACCCUGAUGCAACCA
rnacentral:rRNA from 1 species